rnacentral:ncRNA from 2 species
AAGGUUUCCGUAGGUGAACCU